GGUAAGAUGGCUGAGUGAAGCAUUAGACUGUAAAUCUAAGGACAGAGGUGAAAUUCCUCUUUUUACCA
rnacentral:tRNA from 1 species